GCCCAGAUGGCGGAAUUGGUAGACGCGCUAGUUUCAGGUACUAGUGAACUUUGUUCUUGGAAGUUCGAGUCUUCUUCUGGGCA
rnacentral:tRNA from 1 species